AUGGUACUUUUAAAGAACUUGACAAAGUUAUAAGAGUUCUAACCCAAAGUUGUAAUUUUUACACUUUUGCUACUUAACCCACAUAUCUUGUAAUUUCACACUGCUUACGUUAAGUUUGCAUUCUCGUGGUAUAUACUCUUGGUAAUCCGUUUUGAUUAUCCUGAUUCUUAUGAAAGCACUUUCGAAGUUUCUGGAAUCUAAUAGCCAAAAAAGAGUGCUUUCAAGCAAGUCUGUUUUAAGACAGUGAAACUAACUAAUCUCUCUCUUUACUCAAGGUUCUUGAAACAACAGCUACUUCACAGGUAAUUAAGAAAAGCUUUUUUUAUUUGGUCCAAACAUGGCUAACCAGGAUUCAGUAUCCAUUCACAUAAUCUGACUUGAUUUUAGAGUAUGUAGCUAGAAGUGAGCUUUAUAAAGAGCUACAAAACUACUUCAGCGCAUCAACUGUGAGUCCUAGUGAUAUUGACCUUACCGUUACCUCUGGAUCUGAACUAGUAUGAUUUUGGAUGGUCUGUGUACACAUUUAACCAAAGAAGGAUUAUGUCUGGCACUCUUGUUUACCUCCCACCUAAGAUGGUGGAAAGUGUUGAACACGAUGCAAAUGUCGGAUAAAUGGCUUGUUGUAUUUCUGAGAUGUUGGGUUUGGACAGUUUCCGUGUUGAACCGUUUCCACCCACAUCUCGAGAGGCUAUUAGAUAUCCCACAUCGAAUGAUGGGAUGAAUCCUUGGGUAAUAUAUAUGUGAUGUGGCAACCCUUCUCCCUUUAACUAGCUUUUGUUGGGAUUAAUUAGACCACAUUACUAAUAGUUCCCACUCUCAUACCUCGUAACCUUUCAUCCACGUACAAAUAGAAGAAGAAGAAACGAAAAAUAAAGCAAAAGAAAAUGCAUAAGACGAUAUAUAAUUUCUUAUAUUAUGUGAGAUUUAAGCUUUUCAUUCACAUAAAAAAAUGUACAUAUACGUUCUUUUAGUAUAAUAAAUC